GACGAACGCUGGCGGCGUGCUUAACACAUGCAAGUCGAACGGAAAGGCCCUGCUUUUGUGGGGUGCUCGAGUGGCGAACGGGUGAGUAACACGUGAGUAACCUGCCCUUGACUUUGGGAUAACUUCAGGAAACUGGGGCUAAUACCUGAUAGGAGCUCCUGCUGCAUGGUGGGGGUUGGAAAGUUUCGGCGGUUGGGGAUGGACUCGCGGCUUAUCAGCUUGUUGGUGGGGUAGUGGCUUACCAAGGCUUUGACGGGUAGCCGGCCUGAGAGGGUGACCGGCCACAUUGGGACUGAGAUACGGCCCAGACUCCUACGGGAGGCAGCAGUGGGGAAUAUUGCACAAUGGGCGGAAGCCUGAUGCAGCAACGCCGCGUGCGGGAUGACGGCCUUCGGGUUGUAAACCGCUUUCGCCUGUGACGAAGCGUGGGUGACGGUAAUGGGUAAAGAAGCACCGGCUAACUACGUG
rnacentral:rRNA from 1 species